AUCUUUGCGCAGUGGCAGUAUUGUAGUCUAUGAGGUUUAUCCGAGACAUGAUUAUUGCUAGUUGAAAACUUUACCCAAUACCUUGCCUUGCUGGCUUGAAAUAGUCGGCAACGGCAAUUUUUGAUAGUCUCUCAGGAGA
rnacentral:snRNA from 1 species